rnacentral:lncRNA from 1 species
CCGUUAGGGACCCAGGGGCACCACGCCCCGGGGCNNNNNNNNNNUGUGAUGCUCUGAUUUCUCUCGGGCGUCCAGUUCAGAUGAGGAUGAUGAUAAUGAAGAAAAAACCCCACCACCAUCACCACCACUACCUUUGACACAUUCCAUUGCAACUGCUCUCUUGGCUUCAGUUUUAUGGCCCCGGUUUAAUUGACACAAUAUGCUUGACAUGACAUUGAUUAAGACUGGUGGGUCAAAAAAAGGAAAAUCAACUUGCAUGAUCAC